UACGAAGGGGGCUAGCGUUGCUCGGAAUUACUGGGCGUAAAGCGCACGUAGGCGGCUUUUUAAGUCGGAGGUGAAAUCCUGGAGCUCAACUCCAGAACUGCCUUCGAUACUGGAGAGCUCGAGUUCGGGAGAGGUGAGUGGAACUGCGAGUGUAGAGGUGAAAUUCGUAGAUAUUCGCAAGAACACCAGUGGCGAAGGCGGCUCACUGGCCCGAUACUGACGCUGAGGUGCGAAAGCGUGGGGAGCAAACAGG
rnacentral:rRNA from 2 species